AUGGGUUAAUCCAUUUUUAAUAGAUUAUAUCAGCAAAGACAAACGUUAAAUUCAAAGAUAAUGUCACUGCUCACAUUUCUUUAAUGCCGUUAUUCCAAAUCCUCUGAAAACAUUGUUUCCCCGUUUACACAAAAAAGAAAAAAGCACCGUCUC